rnacentral:rRNA from 1 species
CUACGGGCUGCAGCAGUGAGGAAUAUUGCACAAUGGAGGAAACUCUGAUGCAGCAACGCCGCGUGGAGGAUGACGCAUUUCGGUGUGUAAACUCCUUUUAUAUGUCAAGAAAAUGACGGUAGCAUAUGAAUAAGCACCGGCUAACUCCGUGCCAGCAGCCGCGGUAAUACGGAGGGUGCAAGCGUUACUCGGAAUCACUGGGCGUAAAGGACGCGUAGGCGGGAUAUCAAGUCAGGUGUGAAAUCCUACAGCUUAACUGUAGAACUGCACUUGAAACUGGUAACCUAGAGUAUGGGAGGGGGAGAUGGAAUUAGUGGUGUAGGGGUAAUAUCCGUAGAUAUCACUAGGAAUACCUAAAGCGAAGGCGAUCUCCUGGAACAUAACUGACGCUAAGGCGUGAAAGCGUGGGGAGCAAACAGGAUUAGAUACCCUCGUAGUC